GAGAGAUGAGCCUGGAGCCCUGAUGACAUAGGAUCAUGAUACACAGGGAAUUGGAGGGAAGAACAUAACGAAAAAGAAUAAUCGUGAAUGAAAAUUGCUGAAGACGAGUGGCCCUUGUCGUGCGUGGGGCUAGUUAUUGAACUUAACUGGAACCUGUAAUGCUUAUUCUGUAUUGAGGAUUUAAAGAAGUAUCUGGGAUUGAGCCAUCUCACGUCCAUCCAACCACACUCACACAAAUGGGAUGGGUCCACAGCCUUCGGACAUGAUUGCCUAACUCUGGCAAUAGAGAGAUGAAGAAGAUAGAGAGAUGAAGAAGAUAGAGAGAUGAAUAAGAAACACAUACAGGUAAUUGCCAGACAGAGAGAUGGAGAAGAAACACAUACAGGUAAUUAGCUUAAAAGCACAUUCUGUGUUUGUGAGGCGGAAAGAGUGGAAACUGGGGCAAGUCCAUUACAG
rnacentral:lncRNA from 10 species